rnacentral:rRNA from 1 species
GAUGAACGCUGGCGGCGUGCCUAAUACAUGCAAGUCGAGCGAACAGACGAGGAGCUUGCUCCUCUGACGUUAGCGGCGGACGGGUGAGUAACACGUGGAUAACCUACCUAUAAGACUGGGAUAACUUCGGGAAACCGGAGCUAAUACCGGAUAAUAUAUUGAACCGCAUGGUUCAAUAGUGAAAGACGGUUUUGCUGUCACUUAUAGAUGGAUCCGCGCCGCAUUAGCUAGUUGGUAAGGUAACAGCUUACCAAGGCAACGAUGCGUAGCCGACCUGAGAGGGUGAUCGGCCACACUGGAACUGAGACACGGUCCAGACUCCUACGGGAGGCAGCAGUGGGGAAUCUUCCGCAAUGGGCGAAAGCCUGACGGAGCAACGCCGCGUGAGUGAUGAAGGUCUUCGGAUCGUAAAACUCUGUUAUUAGGGAAGAACAAAUGUGUAAGUAACUAUGCACGUCUUGACGGUACCUAAUCAGAAAGCCACGGCUAACUACGUG